AUUCAUCUCCAGCGGCGUGUCAGCUGUGCGAAGACUAAUGCCUCCUGUGGUUUGGUUUGUGGUGGUAAAAGUAAUGAUACUAUUAUUAAUCAUGACACUUUGCAAUUAGUUUUCAUGAGUGCUGCUGUAUCUCUAUCAUGCGCCGUAGCUCUUGCUAUUCUUCUACCCUCAUAGACCUUUUAGUUAAAUAGCACCUACCUAUUGUAUAUAAUUCCACGCCAGAAUGGUUUGGUUUGUUAGAAUGCUAAAUCGCUGUUAAUACUUUCCUGAUAUUCAGUUAAAAAGUUGGGUCCAUUCUUUUGUGUGUUGCAGUCAUUGAGCUUGAACGAGAGGCUUGCGAGCAAUCAAAUCCCAUGGCCAAACACACAUGCACUGCUGGUAACGUGUUCGAUGAAAUGUCCCUAGCACGGCGAUUCAAAGGGUUAAAGAACUAGUAGUUAGAAUAGAAGAGAAGCCUCGUGGAGAAGAAAUCUUUGCUUGGCUGCUGGUACCUGUCUGUUGUUGUUGUUGGUUUCCUUGGUUGCUGGUACCUGUCUGUUGUUGUUGGAGGUGCUAUCUGUUGUUUCUGGUGCCGUAGUUGGCUCAUGUGCCAUGGUGAAUCUGUUGUUGGUACAGCUAGGAAUUUUUGUAUGUCCUGUGGUUUGAAUUUCUGUCAAAUUGGUACUGAAGUUCUAGGUAAUUGAAUUUAUAAUCCUGGUCAAAUUAGUUGAUAAAUCUUGUGGGCUGAAUUGAUCAUUUUGAUAAAUGGGCUUUUCUUGUUGGCUUGUA